UAUAACUCUGGCCACACUGCAUUAAAAUUGUAUGUCGCGUUGUUCGGCUGUUGCUCGUGUAAAAAUUAUUGAAAUUACACAAACGCACACACCGUAGCCAUAAAAACAUCUUUUAAUGUGAGUAAAAGAACAAGGACGGAACAAUGGGAGCCUGUGUAUGUCGCAUGAAUCCCGACAAUGAGACAAUGAGUGUUUCCUCGGCGAGCGCUUCGCGUCCGGCCAGCGCAGGAAUCGCUUUGGGGGGCGCUGCGCGCAAGAAUCGUCCACUGUGCCAUGAGACCAUUAAGUGGCGCUCGGACGUCCCAUUAACCGAAGGACAAUUGCGCUCCAAACGGGACGAGUUUUGGGACACUGCUCCGGCAUUUGACGGGCGCAAAGAGAUUUGGGAUGCGCUCCGAGCGGCCACAAAUGCAGCAGAAUGUCUGGAUUUUCAAAUGGCCCAGGCCAUAUUAGAUGGCGCUAAUGUGUCCGUGCCCAAUGGCUACCUCACAGAAUGCUACGAUGAACUGGGUACACAGUACAAGGUGCCCAUUUACUGUCUGUCCUAUCCCAUUAACAUUGUGAAGGAGGAGAAUGGACGCGACUCGCCAGCUGAAUACUCAGAGCCCGUAGAUGGAGGAACCGAAAUCUUUCUGAAACUGCGCAUAUCAUCGACAAUGACUGAUGUUAAACUGCCGGUAUACUCAAAGGAUACGGUGGGACAGUGCAAGAAAAAGCUGCAGUCUGUAGAGGGCGUCGAUGCAUGCUGCCAACGUUGGUUCUACAGCGGUAAGCUGCUGGGCGAUAAGGUACCCAUUGAUGAGUGCAGCAUACACCAAGGCUAUGUGGUGCAGGUCAUUGUUAAUACAGAGCACUAUAAUCACGACAACAGCACGAGUAUCGUUCAUAUGUCGCUUGCGAGCUAGCAAUACACCAACUCCAUACUAGUCAACUUAGGCAUCAACAGCAGCAACAAGCUUUGUGAACAACAGCAACUGGCUAGCAGUGGCAAUAACAACAAUUCCAAGCACUCCGGCAACAACACAAAGAGCUUUAAUGUAAAGCACAAAGAACCAAAACAAAAACAUCGACAACUAACGUAUUGCAUUUAUCAAAAGCACACGCAUAAUGCCAAUAGUUUUGUUUUGUUUAUAUAUCAGCUCGCCUUAUUGUUGUUCUUGUUGUUGUUGUUGUUGUUGUUGUAUUGCUAUUGCAAAACAUACAAUUCUGAGCAAAUACAAAAAAUUAAUGAAAAAUGCCUAUAAAUAUAAAAAUUAAUCAUAAAUACAUAUAUUUUUCUGAUAAUAAUUAUGUAUGUUAACAAAAUUAAGCAGUCGCUAUAAAGAAUAAUUUGUAUAAGCUGCUGUAUUGAGUAGAAAUAUUCAAAUAUGCGCAUGAAAUUCACAAUUAAAAAUCAAAUAAACAAAUGUACAUUUCUCAUGAAAACAAAAACAAAACUAGAACUGCAAAUUCAGAGGAAAAACGCAUAAUAAUUACAAAAUGUUUAUUAACUAAUUAUACGCAAACAUUUGUAUGUAUUGUAAAAAAACAAAAGAACUGUAGUAAUUGGCUAUAAUGAAAAAUCAAAGCAAACAUUCGCUUAAUGUGUCGAAAUACUACAUCAACUUUUGAUACUGUACAAGAAAGCAUAAAUGUAAAAAUGUUGAACGCCGAGCACAAAUUCAAUGUAAAAAUCUUUAACAAAAACAAACGAAAUUCAAAAAGAAAUUGUUAAAUUUAAUUCUUGCUCAAUGUAGUUAACACAAUAGUAUAAAGUGGUUGGACAAGGAAACGUUAAUAUCGGAUAGAGUAAACCCAAGUACCUUAUAAAUUAGAGUCAGGAAGGAAAAGGCUGUUGUAAUAGUCUGUAAGAUAAAAAAGAAAGAAUCGAUAAUAAUAUGAAAGAUUGUAUAUUUUACCAGCAGUCAGUCGAAAGGAGCGACGGGAAUUGAUCAAGAAAAUGAUAUAAUCGCUGCGCAACUGACGCAAAUGAAGCUGCCAAGGACUUCGCAGGAGUGCAUCCCCACAUCGUUGACUAUUCUGAUAUACAACGUCGGCAAAGUAGCAAAUGAUAAAGAGCUCAUAGAGGACCAACAGCAGAUACUGGCCCAAGGACACCAUGCGCAUCAAUGAAUUGACCGCAGUGCUCUUGAUUGAAACAAAUGCCACCAGGCACAUAAGAAAAAAUUGAUAUAAUAUAAUGAUGUUGCUGCACACAGCGCGUCAACGAAUGGUUGAAGGCGGCGGGAAAGUUGGUAAAAUUGUCUGGUUUUUGUUGCUGUAUCAGUUUUUCCAGUGGAGUCGUAAUUUCUGAGGAGUAACAAAAUUGAUUUAACUCGUCAUCCGCCACAGAUUGUGCUUUUUGGAGUUUACUGUGAAGUCGAAAAGAAUAAAUCGCUAGAAUAUUUUUCAGGCUACAGAACAACACAUCAUACUGGCCAGAUAUUAGUAUACCUAGAACCAUAUGAAAACCACUGGAGGAAGCAAAGGCGGCAGCCACUUGAAUCUGUCCGACAGCCUGGAGAAAGAAAACCAAUUCGUAGACAAUCGGUUGCUGUAGAAAAUAACAAUAUACAAGAGCUCGCAUUUUUGACUUCAUUCGGACUUACGUUAUAAUCAAACGGAUACCAGCAUGCUAAGGGCAGACUUCCGUCUCGGUAAACUAUGGGUAGCACCAGCCAGAAUAUGGUUCCCACAAAGCAACAGUAGACAUAGCUUUUGAUCCAUAAAUUAGACUGUCGCAGGGCUCCCGUGACGGUCACAUAGGUAAACCCCUGCGGCGAGCGUAUCUGAUGUUUUUCAUUGACAGCUGAUUAUCUCGUUUAAAAGCCUGUGUCUGAAGCGUCGGAAGUAUAACUUCAUGGUGAUGGUCCACAGGUAAAUGACCGUUUGUAUCAGACAGUUGACCAGAAACUCCAGAUCACCUUGGCCGUAAUCCAAUUCAACGCGAUUAGCAAGAGAUUUAGGCAGCUGCCUCGAUUUCCCAUUCGAAAUGGAUACAUGCCAGCCACGCGCAUUGUCGAGAGUAUAAAGACGAACAGAUCGCGGCGCUGCGACUCCUCCUCAAUUGGAAUAUCCGAGCACUUCAUGCUGUUCUAUGCUAAUCGAACAGGAUUCGAACUUUCACGCUUUUAAAUAGGCUGUGGAUACUUGUAAUUAUGUGUGUUUAUAUAUAAACUUUAAAUUAUUAGCUACGAGGCAACCAUUUGCUGUCAAAACUUUUGAUUGAAAUUAUAUAUAUUGUUAAUAAGUAAUAA